AAGACCUUGCGCUUUUGGAGCGGCCGAUGUCUGAUUAGCUUGUUGGUGAGGUAAAAGCUUACCAAGGCUUCGAUCAGUAGCUGGUCUGAGAGGACGGCCAGCCACACUGGGACUGAGACACGGCCCAGACUCCUACGGGAGGCAGCAGUGGGGAAUUUUGGACAAUGGGGGCAACCCUGAUCCAGCCAUGCCGCGUGAGUGAAGAAGGCCUUCGGGUUGUAAAGCUCUUUCAGCCGGAACGAAACGGUUACGGUUAAUACCCGUGACUACUGACGGUACCGGAAGAAGAAGCACCGGCUAACUACGUGCCAGCAGCCGCGGUAAUACGUAGGGUGCAAGCGUUAAUCGGAAUUACUGGGCGUAAAGCGUGCGCAGGUGGUUUUGUAAGUCAGAUGUGAAMUCCCCGGGCUUAACCUGGGAACU
rnacentral:rRNA from 1 species